UUCCUGGAGGCCUAGUGGCUAAGACUCUGCACUUCCAAUGCAGGCACCUGGGUUCAACCCCUGGUUGGGGAA
rnacentral:tRNA from 1 species